UGGGGAAUAUUGCACAAUGGGCGCAAGCCUGAUGCAGCCAUGCCGCGUGUAUGAAGAAGGCCUUCGGGUUGUAAAGUACUUUCAGUCGGGAGGAAGGUGUCAAGGUUAAUAACCUUGGCAAUUGACGUUACCGACAGAAGAAGCACCGGCUAACUCCGUGCCAGCAGCCGCGGUAAUACGGAGGGUGCAAGCGUUAAUCGGAAUUACUGGGCGUAAAGCGCACGCAGGCGGUUGAUUGAGUCAGAUGUGAAAUCCCCGGGCUUAACCCGUGAAUUGCAUCUGAUACUGGCAAGCUUGAGUCUCGUAGAGGGGGGUAGAAUUCCAGGUGUAGCGGUGAAAUGCGUAGAGAUCUGGAGGAAUACCGGUGGCGAAGGCGGCCCCCUGGACGAAGACUGACGCUCAGGUGCGAAAGCGUGGGGAGCAAACAGG
rnacentral:rRNA from 1 species